CGCUAUGCUAUGCAGAGCUGGGCACAUCCAUACCAAAAUCAGGCGGAGACUAUGCGUACAUUAAUGCUGGCUUUGGCUCCCUUCCUGCCUUCCUUUUCCUCUGGGCUGCCAACCUCAUCUUUGUGUAAAGUUAAAGCCCACCACCAAUCCCAUCAUGCCGCUGGCCUUUGCAAAGUAUGUGAUUCAACCGUUCUUCCCCAACUGUGACCUGCCAGAUGAUGCUGUGCGGCUCAUUCCAGCACUGUCCAUAUCUGGAAUGUACGAGUCACCACCAAGCAGCAGGAUUUCUUCAUGGUGACCAAGAUUGCUGCAUUGCCCAUUGUCAUCCUUGCUGGCAUUGUACACCUUUGCAUGGGCAACACUGGGAACUUCCACAACUCCUUCCAGGGCACCAGCACUGAGCCAGGCAAGAUAGCUGUCUCCUUCUACUCAGGCAUAUCUUCCUAUACUGGAUGGAACUACCUCAACUUCAUGAUGGAGGAACUGAAGAACCCAUUUGUCUGAGUACUGUCUCUCCCUCUCUUGGCACCAUACUGCCACUCACUUCUACUCACUUCUACUCACUUGGCACCACACUGCCACUCACUUCUACUCACUUGGCACCACACUGCCACUCACUUCUACUCACUUCUCACACUGCCACUCACUUCUACUCACACUGCCACUCACUUCUACUCACUUCUACUCACACUGCCACUCACUUCUACUCCACACUGCCACUCACUUCUACUCCACGACUGCCACUCACUUCUACUCACACUGCCACUCACUUCUACUCCACACUGCCACUCACUUCUGCUCCACACUGCCACUCACUUUCUACUCCACACUGCCACUCACUUUCUACUCAGGCAUAUUUUCCUACGCUGGAUGGAACUACCUCAACUUCAUGAUGGAGGAGCUGAAGAACCCAUUUGUUAACCUGUCCCGGGCCAUCUACAUCUCCCUGCCACUGGUGACGCUGGUCUACGCGAUGGCCAAUGUUGCCUGCCUGGCUGUGCUCUCCCCUGUCGACAUGCUGGCCUCUGAUGCCAUUGCUGUUACCUUUGCUGACCAAUCUAAUGGGCCGUGGCAGUGGCGGCUGGGUGAUGCCCUUGCUGGUGGCCCUCUCAGUGCACAUCAUGACUUCCUCCAGCAGGAGGGUUGGGAACGAGCCCCUCCAGUGGUGUGCUGUUAACUUCACGUCCUGGGUAUCCAUCCCCCUGAUGUGAGGGACGGAGGACGCGAAGACGUUCCACAGUCUGGGUGAUGCAGAGGAAUGACUGAGAAGAAAGGAAGGAAGAAAGGGAGGAGGAUACAAGAAAGAAGGAAGGAAGGAAGGAAGGAAGGAAGGAAGGAAGGAAGGGAAGGAGGACAAGAAGGAAGAGAAAAGGAGGACACUCUCUCUCUCUCUCUCUCUCUCUCUCUCUCUCUCUCUCUCUCUCUCUCUCUCUCUCUCUCUCUCUCUCUCUCCCACAGACCCACAGGAUAUCCCCCCACAGGAUGUUGACAAACCCCACAGUCACUCCCCUCAGCCCCUCUCUCUCUCUCUCUGUCUCUCACCUACCUUCAGGCCCAGAAUAGGAACCCUGUCAGUGCCCGUCAGGAACUUCAAAAACAACUUCUUCUGCUCCAGGGAGAGUUUGUGAAAUACUUCCCAGAACGUGCGUAUGACCGGGUGGUCUGGGAAACAUUCGCCCUGGAAACACCGACAGAAAUCAAUAAACGGAAGGAUAUUAGUGUGAA